UCUCCCACCACGGGAAACAUCCUUUCCACGUCUACCCUGUCAAGGCCUUUCAACAUUUGAAAGGUUUCAAUGAGAUUCCCCCCACCCCCAUUCUUCUAAAUUCCAGUGAGUACAGACCCAGAGCUAUCAAACAUUCAGCUCCUGACCUCAUCACCUCCUUGGUUCAAAAAUGGACCAAAGAGUUCAAUACAGAGGUGAGAGUGAUAGCCCUCAACAUCAAGGCAGCAUUUGACCGAGUAUGGCAUCAAGGUGCCCAGCUAAAAAGGAGUCAAGGGGAAUUAGGAGGAAAACCCUCUGCUGGCUGGAAUCAUACCUGACACAAAGGAAGAUGGUUGGAGGUCAAUCAUCUCAUCCUCAGGACAUCAUUGCAGGAGUUUUUUAGGGAAGUGUCAUAGGCCUAAUCAUCUUCAGCUGCUUCCUUCUGUCAGAAAGUCAGAAGUGGGGAUGUUUGCAGAUGACUGCACAAUAUUCUACACCUUUCAUGGCUCCUCAGAUAGUGAAGCAGUUCAUGCCUAAAUGCAGCAGGACCUGAACAAUAUCUGGGCUUUGGCUGACAAGUGGCCAGUAACAUUCGAGCCACACAAGUGCCAGGCAAUGACAAGAGAGAGGCUCUAACCAUCAUCCCUUGACAUUCAGUGAAAUCAGCAUCACUGAAUCCCCUACUAUCAACAUUCUGGGGGUUACCAUUGGCAGGAAACUGAACUGGUCUAGCCAUAUAAACACAGUGGCUGCCAGAGCAGGUCAAAGGCUAGGAACUCAGCUUCUGACUUCCCAAAGCCUGUCCACAAUCGACAAGGUUCGGGUCAGGAAUACUCACCACUUACCUGGAUGAGUACAGCUCCAACAACAGUCAAGAAGCUCAACAUCAUCCAGUACAAGACAGCCCAUUUGAUUGGUACCCCUUCCCAAAGCAUCCAAUCCCUCCACCAUUGACGAACAGUUGGAGCAGUGUGUACUCUCUACAAGAUGCACUGCAACAACACACCAAAGUUCCUAAGGCAGCACCUUCCAGACCCACGACCACUACCAACUAGAAGGACAAGAACAGCAGACAGCUGGGAACACCACCACUUGGAAAUCCCCCUCCAAGUCACUCACCAUCCUGACUUGGAAACGUAUCACUGUUCCUUCAUUGAUGCUGGAUCAAAAUCAUGGAAUUCCCUCCUUAACAGCACUGUGGGUGUACCUACCCCUCAGAGACUGCAGUAGAUCAAGAUGGCAGCUCAUCAUCAUCUUCUCAAGGCGAACAAGGAAUGGGCAAUAAAUGCUGGCUUAGCUGGCAACACCCACAUCCUGUAAAUGAAUUUAAAAAGUCCUCAUAUGAUAACACUUUCAUUCCCAGAAUCACUCUUGUGCACCUCAGCUGUACUCUCUCCAAUGUCAGCAUAUCUUUCCACAGAUGAGGAGCGUAAAGCUGUUCACAGUACUCAAAGUGAGGAUUCACCAGAACUUUAUAAAGCACUGCAUUCCUGCUCUUGUAUUCUGGUCCUCUUGAGAUGAAUGCUAACAUUGCACUUGCCUUCCUCACACUGACUCAACCUGCAAGGUAACCUCUAGGUUGUUCUGCAUAAGGACUCACAAGUCCCUUUGCAUCUCAGAUUUUUGCAUUUUCUCCCCAUUUAGAAAAUGGUCUGCAUGAUUAUUUCUAUUAUCAAACUGCACAAUCAUUCUUUUUCCAACAUUGUAUUUCAUUUGUCACAUUCUUGCUCAUUCUCCUAAUCUGUCUAAAUCUUUUUGCAGCCUACGUGCUUCUUCAACACUACUGGCCCCUCCACCAAUCUUUGUAUCAUCUGCAAACUUGGCAACAAAGCCAUCUAUUCCAUCAUCUAAAUCAUUCAUACACAGCAUAAAAAGAAGCGGUCCCAACACCAACCCCUACGGAAUACCACUAGUAACUGGCAGCCAACCAGAAAAGGAUCUUGCUGCCUCCUGCCUGUUGGCCAGAAGAAACUUCAGUCUGAUCAAGGACAAGGAAGCAGACAAGCCACGCUGCCCCCAUUUUGUGGACUCUGUGAAGAGCCUUUCUUGCUCUUGGAUAUCAGAGCAACCGAAUGUGGACACAGGAAGCUUCAGGUAUUGAUCUGCUAAACCUGAGACCAUUCUCGAACAAAUAGCCAUUAGUUAUGUAAAGGGAAUGGACUCUGAACUGAUCCUUGCGCUGGGACAAUCUUAUCAGAGCAAUAAACCUGAGACCAUUCUCAGAGGAGUAGGUACCUGUUCUGUAAAAUGCCAGACCUGCAAUUAGUAAUCUCGUUAAACUCUGUCUGGGUUGCCUCAUUUACUGGUUUGGACCAGUCAGAGUGUAAACACACAAAUACACAAGGCUGGGGUAGACAGAACCAUGAAACAAUGUUGGCUGUAGUCCUCUACAAUGACCAGUAAUAAGGUGACCCAAGUAGGUCAGGUGACCCUGAGCCAAUGGGAUGGAGAUCCAAUGGUUCAAUUGAUGAGGAACCGUACAAGACUCAGGAGCUCCAAAUACGCAGGGUCAAUAACUCUCCAGCAGCCAGACCAACCAUCGCGGACCCAACGGACACGUGGAGAUCAGAACCACGAGGAACCCGGCCAGCGUAGACUCCUUUCCCUGAAAAGAAGUCCGCUCCUGCCGGAGAGGUUGACGGAUGGAUAAACCCCAUGCUCAAUGCCUCCUUGAUGUAUUCCUCCAUGGCCAUCGUUUCAGGACGAGAGGGAAAAGAGUCGGCCCCAGUGAGGACCAGUGCCAGGGGUUACCACGGGCACAGCCAACGAAUACCUUCCGAAUGAGGAUCAAACAAGGUCGAACCUGUUUCACCAUUGAAAUCGAUUUUCCUCGAUCUGUUAGCUCCAGAACUCCGAUCUUCACUCUCCACUGUUCUUUAACUGGCAGUAUUAUAAAGAAACUGCCAGCAAUGACCUUUUAAACUUUAGGCAUUAAA